UUUUUUUGCAUACACAUUACAAUUUUCUUUGAAAAAUGCAAACAAAGUCACUUUCACUGACAAUAUAAUCACUGUGAUAUGUUUUACUGUUUUGAAACAUUAAUAUUGGUGUUCAGUGAAGUCUCCUGAGUAAAGCAGUACCCCCCAUGUACAGGUUUUAGGAUGUCAUAAAAAGUUUCAGGGUUAAAUACAGUGCUAGCAAAUUAAAUUCUCUGGACUUUCGGCCUGGGUUGUCAGGCAGGUCCCUCAAAUGGCAAUCAAUAAAAUUACUUGAUAAUGUAAAAAUAUGACAUAGAUUUGCACGUAGAA